GAUGAACGCUGGCGGCGUGCCUAAUACAUGCAAGUCGAGCGAACGGACGCGAAGCUUGCUUCUUUGAUGUUAGCGGAGGACGGGUGAAUCACGCGUGUAUCACCUCCCUAUCAGAGUGGGAUCACUUCGAAAAACCGGCGCUAAUCCCGUAUGAUCUUUUGCACCGCGUGGUUCAAAGGUGAAUUACGGUCUUUGUGGCACUUCUAGCUGGAUCCGGGCUGCAUUAGCUAGUUGUUAAGGUCACGGCUUACCAAGGCAACGAUGCAUAGCCGACCUGAGAGAGGGAUCGGCCACACUGGAACUGGGACACGGUCCAGACGACUACGGGAGGCAGCAGAAUGGAACCGUAGGCAGUGGGGGAAAGCCUGACGGAGCAACGCGACGUGAGAUACGAAGGCGUUCGGAUCGGAAUGAUGGGUUAUGAGGUAAGAACAGAUGUGGAAGUAGCCGAGGACAGAGUGACGGUAAUGAAUAAGAAAGCAACGGCUAACUACGUG
rnacentral:rRNA from 1 species